AUUUACACAGACAUUAAAUUUCGUUCUAUUCAUUUUAGACAUAUAAUGCUAAGCUGAUUUUUUUUUUUUUAUAGCGCACUGAUCGAUAUCUCUGUAAAAUAAUCAUUUUUUUUUAACUAGCGGGGCAGUGAAAUCUUUGCUUUGUGCUAAAGUCAACAGUGACAGAGUUUGAGCUCAAAUAAAUGCCGUGAUGUCUGGAGCCCUUUGCAGAAGGCAGAAGGCGAGCUUCUACAAUGGGCUCCUGUGUGACUUGCCAACAACAAGCACCAGCUAUUUUGCACAGAUGCACAUGGCUUUCUUUGAAGGACUCUUUUCCACUGCUGCUUUCCAUCUACGUUCAUCACCCUGCAUCAAGCGGCCUGAAAGCACUUCCCUGUCGAUGUGCUUGCCUAUAUCUAUGUCUGACCUGUCUGCCAUAUGUAAUAUCAAAGCCUCUGUCAGCGUGGAGCUGAAUGGGAACAAAAGAGAGGCCUCCAUUAAUGAUUAACUGUUCUAAAAGCCCCGGCUUUUGUAUUCCCAUGGUACCCAGGCUAUCUGGCCACCAUGUGACAUGCUCACAGCAUUUUUCGAGCAGAUUGGGGGAAAGCUAGUGAGCAAACACAGGUGCUUUGGAGCAGCGUUGCCGACGCUGUCAGGGACAACCACAAACAAGAGCAGCUAUGCCUGGCUAAAUGAAUCCCCACCCCUCCCAACACCAUCACCAUCACCACCUCCACCCCCCCAUCCCCGCUCUCUGUCGCUAGCUAACUUGUUUGCGAGCUCCCCAUAGCUUUCUCCCCGCAAAGCCUUCCUUCUGGAGAGUCCCCAUGCUCCCCCCCCACAAGUUCAAUGCCCGCUACAGCCACAGCUCCACAACUUCUCACACCCUCCAAAGAAACAAACAAAUAAAAGUGAGGACGGCCGACCACUUCUUUGAGGUGAUGGCAUUUGCUGUGGUCAUGACUAGUGGGAGAGCAAACAAAUUAACGGUAUUCGGGUUUUCACUUUCCAAACCAAACUAACUGUCUUUUAGUUCAAGUGGGGCAAUUCCACUGACCCUGGUGUCAAACGCUGUAUAAGGGCUGCACACUCUUGCACUUGAAAUGCAGAGAGGAGGCCGUAAGAAAUUAAACAGGGCUUGAGUAUUGGCCAACCUGGUGUGUUGAAACACCUUAAAGUGAGAAAUAAAUCUUGAAUAAAUUGUGUGUGUAAUAAACA